rnacentral:lncRNA from 1 species
AAAUAUUUACAACCACAUUGAAAAAUCAAGGAAACCACAUACAUUUAGUUCUUAAAUGCCAACUAACAGUGGAUCACAUAUCAGAAACCAGUUUUUGAGGUUCAGCUGCGCCUUGAGACAGUUUUCCUUGGGUCCACCUCUUCAGCAUCUCUAAUGCAGCCUUGGGCUGGUCCAUAGGAACCAUGUGUCCUGCAUCAUGGACCUGUUGAUCCAUGCACCACGCAACUAUAUCAGUACACUUUACAAAUGUGUGCCAUAGUCCAGGGUGAGAGAGGGAAGAAGAGAGGGAUACCUUGAGGAAGGCGAGAGGCCCAUGGCUUCUCAAUACUCCGGCUUCUGAACCAUCAACUUCAAAAGGAAGUUCAGGUGAUGCCACAAAACUUUUCUGACCAGACCAC